GAAGCACCAGCUACGUGGGGGGAGUCUCUGUAUUCCACGAAGCCCCUAUCACAGGCUUUGCGUAGGUGGUUGGUAGGUAAACGCCUGAAGUUAUGCAUGAAAGCUUUUUUAAGAUAUCCCAAGAGAUACCAGCUGCAUUUCCAAGAACCAGGCUCUCCAAACAAAAAUCUGGGUCCAAAGUCCUCUACGUAAUUUUGAAAGUAAAUUUUCAGUUCUUGGAUCCGGAGGCUUUGUGGCCUCAUCUAAGUCUCAGAUUCUGCACAGUCACAAUUUCAAAAAAUAAUACAGUGUUCCCAGCGGAGACGCUCCGGGGCUGGAGGAGGACUCUUUGUAACCCAAAACCUGUGAGGAAACUUUAGUUCUGGCGCCAAAGAGAGGUUUCCACUGAAAGGGAACAAAAACAGGCAAAGAGGUUUUGCAACAGGCAAGCGCUCUGUUUAAAAAAAAUGCGGGGACGUCAGGAAACUCCAAAGAACUGGCUAAAAACAAGAUUUCUUUAACCUAGAACAUGAGGACUUCAACAAGGCGAAGGAAAUUGGAUGCUGGAAUAUGGCCCCACCAACAUUCUCAAUUCUAACCUUCGUCGACCUGCUGGAAGGGAGGUGGUAGGUGAGGAAAAGGACAUUUCCUUCAUCUGGGAUCGCAUCUUCAUCAGGACUGGUCUCUGCUGUUGUGCAGACAAAGCUCCAUUCAUGGUGCUUGGAGAAGGAACUACCAGAUACUGAUUCCAACGUGAGUUUCAUUCAUUCAUUUAUAAAUCUUACAAUUAUUUGUUGACUGUCUGCUCCCUGCCAGGCACUAGACUGUUUACUGGAGAUGAGAAACACCUGCCUUCAGGUAGCUACUGUUUAGUGAAAGCACCAACAGGUGGGCUGCAGAAGUGAAACAUCUCCAGGACCGGAGAUCCCGAGUCACCCAAGAGAUGUGGGGUGCAUCACAACUGCCCAAGCUACAUCAUCGUGUGUAUUCCCAACACACGAAAACCUCAGUGUUGAUUAGGCCUUGAGAGGAACCAAGUCCAUCCCUUACUGUGUUACAUCUGAUGAUUGCAAGAAUUUUCCCCAGCCCAGCCUCAAGCUCCAUAAAUGUCGAGCCUCAUUUCUCUUCGCCACCCCGUCCUCCCGUGCCCCAGCAUGAUCGGAUGUCUUCGCGUGGCACUGAGACCACAGGCCGGUGGUGGGAGAAGCAUCCCCGGGGCCGUUUCUCUACCAGAAUAUGUGUGGAUAACGUGACUGUACACGGAGUGACUGCAGCCUGCCUAAAUCAGGGAGGAAAGUGAGGGCAGCCGUGACCGACCGGACCUACAAAUUGUCUGCAAACACACGUCCACGGGAGCACCUUGCAGGAACACUCCCGGGCUGUGGAGGGAGUCGCCCUACGAGGGUCCGGAAGCAGAAGCUUGAGUCUACUUUUCCCCAAGAGCAGGAGGACACUUUGACAGUACAGAUCCGGGCUCCGGAGGCUCUUCCAGGAUUGGUCCCACAGUUAUCUGAUCUGCUUGGAGCUGCAGCAACCGCCGAGGCAGCCCACUCCUUUCCGGGACAAGGCUUAGUAGAAGGAACCAGAAGACCCGCCUUCCUCUCCCAGGCCUGCUGCUUGCUGGCCAUGCAACCUCCAGCAAGGGAGGCGGGAACCACGGCCCGGUUCCACAUCAGGAACCGAAGCUCGCGGGGCGGCCUGCCGGAGGCCACACGGACCAGGGCCCACCUGGAACCUAAGGUGGAGGAAGGGGAAUUCACUCUCUCUGUUGAGUUGGGACGUCUAGCUUCUCCUGUCCUCAGACGGUGCUUGUGGUUUUCCGGCCUUCGGACUUGGACUGAAUCACACCCCAGCUCUCCUGGGCCUCUCAGAUGGUGGGACUUCUGACUUCUCAGCCUCCAUGAUCACGGAGAAAACCAAACCAUAAAAGCAUCAGUCAUCCCCUGAUGAAGAAAUGAUGGUCUAGCUCAUGAAGACCAGACAAUCGGGGCUGAAUAAUCAUCAGAGCUUCCAAACCACCAGGCGUCUGAGGUCUCUACAGACCUACGCUUCCAGGAGCUUUGAAUUUAUCAGGACUGGCAAGAAGCAUCCAGUCCAGCACCACACGUUGUCUUGUGCAGACUCUACUUGAACACUUCUGGUGACGGGGAGCUCUCCACCUUGUGUUGGGAGAAGGUCCUGAUAAUCAGGAAGUCCUCCCUCACAGGGAGCCCAGACCCUCUUCCCAGGUUGUGCACACCCCCUGGGGCAUCUGCUGGGCCCCACACUUAUAGGAGCUCCCCACGCAGUACGCUGACACCUCACGAGAUAAAAAAUGCUCAUCUCACAUCAAAGAAACUUCUCUGCAUUAUGGUCACCCGGCAUCUUUCAGGCUGGACAUUUUCUCCCCUAAUAACCAGAACUUCCCUGAGCUCAGCCAGGCCAAGCGUUUCAUCUCCAUGCAUGUCCUGUUUGAGCACCAGGGGAAGUCGUGGGUACAUCUGAUCUUAGAGCUGGGAGCAAACAAUACAUCAAAGGCAGCUCCUUUUGAAAGCAGCGACUGCCCUGUUACAAUCCAGCGACAAAUUCCACCUGGCAUUCCAGGAGGAAAUCCCAGCUGACCUCUCCCUCCUCGAGAUCCUUGGGAGCUUAACUCACUGCCCGCACCGUCCAUCAGACACUUCAUCACGUGCUCUUUCCAGGCGUCUUUUCUCCCGGAGAGAGUCUGGGGAGACGGAGCGUUUCUCCUCCCCCAGCCCCA